rnacentral:rRNA from 1 species
CCUACGGGAGGCAGCAGUGAGGAAUAUUGGUCAAUGGGCGGAAGCCUGAACCAGCCAAGUAGCGUGCAGGAUGACGGCCCUACGGGUUGUAAACUGCUUUUAUACGGGAAUAACGCGCCUUACGUGUAGGGCUGUGCAUGUACCGUAUGAAUAAGGACCGGCUAAUUCCGUGACAGCAGCCGCGGUAAGACGGAAGGUCCGGGCGUUAUCCGGAUUUAUUGGGUUUAAAGGGAGCGUAGGCGGCAUGGCAAGCGUGCUGUGAAAUGUCCGGGCUCAACCCCGGCCUUGCAGCGCGAACUGGCGUGCUUGAGUCCGCGGAAAGCAGGCGGAAUUCGUCGUGUAGCGGUGAAAUGCUUAGAUAUGACGAAGAACCCCGAUUGCGAAGGCAGCUUGCUGCAGCGGAACUGACGCUGAUGCUCGAAAGCGCGGGUAUCGAACAGGAUUAGAUACCCUGGUAGUC